GUGUCAGCAGCCGCGGUAAUACAGAGGGUGCGAGCGUUAAUCGGAAUGACUGGGCGUAAAGGGCGCGUAGGCGGUUGGAUAAGUGAGGUGAUAAAGACAUGGGCUUAACCUAUGGGUGACGCCUUAGACUGUUCAACUAGAGACGAGGAGAGGGGAGUGGAAUUUCCGGAGGAGUGGUGAAAUACGUAGAUUUCGGAAGGAACACCGGAGGCGAAGGCGACUUUCUGGCCUUGUUCUGACGCUGAGGAGCGAAAGCGUGGGUAGCAAACAGGAUUAGAUACCCUGGUAGUCCACGCAGUAAACGAUGAAUACUAGACGUUAGUGGUAGAAAGACCAUUGGUGUCGAAGCAAACGCGAUAAGUAUUCCGCCUGGGGAGUACGGCCGCAAGGUUGAA
rnacentral:rRNA from 1 species